AAAUUUUAAUUUUAAAAAUUUAGUUUUAAAUUUUGGAUUUUUUUUCUUUUUAGUUUUCGACUUUUCUUUUCCAAGUUAGGUUUAAUUCAAUAGUUCCCUUCUGAUAAUAAUAAUUUAUAAUUUCACUUUCUCAACCUCUCGGAUUUAUUACCGAUUUCCGGCUCUAGUUCCUGGCGGCCAACUACUUUAUCGGAAGUAUCUCCCAAAUGAGGAUAGGGUAGAUGGAUAUUUCCUGUUCGUGACGUGUCCAGAUGUCAAAGUAGUUUGAGGAGAAUUACCUAUAUAAGAUUUUAGGAAAAUCUUGGUUAAUCAACCUCGCGACUCACUGAUCCCUAGGCCAGAGCUCUAACCUAACUCGCGCACGCGUGGUUAAUGUUCACACGCGGGAUGAAAUUUACGAGACAAAAGGAACCGAAUCGAACGUCCGUCUAUGUGUCCCGGUAUUUCACUGUACUGUAGUCGGAAUAUCACCAAAUAUACCCUAGCACCCCAGGCGUGGUGAUGCUAAUGCGGCUGCUCCCUCGAUGGAUGAAGUUUGGUGUUGAGUGGCUUGCAGGUUUGUUUAUUUAGCUUUUUCUUAUUUUUAUUUUGAAGAUUUAGUUUUAAG